rnacentral:rRNA from 1 species
AUACGUAGGGGGCGAGCGUUGUCCGGAAUGAUUGGGCGUAAAGGGCGCGUAGGCGGCCCGGUAAGUCUGGAGUGAAAGUCCUGUUUUUAAGAUGGGAAUUGCUUUGGAUACUGUCGGGCUUGAGUGCAGGAGAGGGAAGUGGAAUUCCCAGUGUAGCGGUGAAAUGCGUAGAGAUUGGGAGGAACACCAGUGGCGAAGGCGACUUACUGGACUGUAACUGACGCUGAGGCGCGAAAGUGUGGGGAGCAAACAGGAUUAGAUACCCUGGUAGUCCACACUGUAAACGAUGAAUGCUAGGUGUAGGGGGUAUCGACCCCUUCUGUGCCGCAGUCAACACAAUAAGCAUUCCGCCUGGGGAGUACGGCCGCAAGGUUGAAACUCAAAGGAAUUGACGGGG